UACGUAGGGGGCUAGCGUUGUCCGGAAUCAUUGGGCGUAAAGCGCGUGUAGGCGGUCCGGUAAGUCCGCUGUGAAAGUCGAGGGCUCAACCCUCGAAUGCCGGUGGAUACUGUCGGGCUUGAGUACGGGAGAGGCGAGUGGAAUUCCUGGUGUAGCGGUGAAAUGCGUUGAUAUCCAGCGGAACUCCGGUGGCGAAGGCGGCGUCACUGGGCUCUACCUGACGCUGAGGCGCGAAAGCGUGGGGAGCGAACCGG
rnacentral:rRNA from 1 species